UGGGGCCCUGGCUGCCCCCGCCCCUCCGCGCACGCGCCGUGCGUGGACAAGAUGGCGGCGCCCGUGGAUCUGGAGCUGAAGAAGGCCUUCACGGAGCUGCAGGCCAAGGUGAUGGACACGCAGCAGAAGGUGAAGCUGGCCGACCUGCAGAUCGAGCAGCUCACCAAGACCAAGAAGCACGCGCACCUCACCGACACGGAGGUGAUGAUGCUGGUGGACGAGACCCGCAUGUACGAGGGCGUGGGACGGAUGUUUAUUCUUCAGCCUAAAGGAGUGAUUCACAAUCAGCUCUUAGAAAAACAGAGAAUAGCCGAAGAGAAAAUUAAGGAGUUAGAGAGGAGUUUGCAGAGGAGGGCUGGGUUCACUGCUGAGCUCUUCUGGAAAUCCAUCCAGCUGCAUAGCAAGGAGAUCUCCAGCUGCCUGUUCCUGAAAAUGUGUCUUUAAUUUGCUUCAGAGGUGUGAGCUGGUUUUGCUGACAUUCACAGCAGCCAGUGAACUUUGAAAAAUGUCUGGCUGUCUUACAGAGAGAAGAAUCUGUGUUCUCAUUGCUGAUUUUUGAAAUUAAAGAUACUCUGAGCAAUGAGAAAAAUAAGCUUCAAAAUGACAAAACACUGAGGAGGUUGAGAGUGUAAUGGACACAGAACUAAUGCCACCAGCCCAAAAUCCUGCUUUUUGGAGAGGCCCUGUGACAUUGGACUGGGGCCACACAAUUUCAGACAGAUGGAAAUCAGCUGCGUGCAGCCAGCACCUGGCAGAUUUUAAAGGCAGCAAGUGCUCCUCAGUGUCUGCAGGGAAGGAGGUGGAUCUGUUUAGAAGCUGGCUCUUAGUCCUGUGUUAAAUUUAUUAGAUAAAGAUCAAAUAACAGUAUGUUCUGCUUUGAAAAUUGUGUAAGAAGCUUGUCAUGUGUUAAAUAGUGCACAAGUCACCGGUUGCAAAACAUGAUGUUGGAAUCUUAGAAGCACAGGGAGAAGAAAUUCUCACAUUUCAAAGGGGAAAGGGGAUUCCCAGCUCUCUUGAGGGGUCAUUUGCCACUUUAGGCUUGGGAUGACUUAUAAAAACUAAUGUCUCACUACAUUUUUGUGAAGAAUGGUUGUAGGUAAUGCUGAUUUGAGUGCAAUGAUGUGUAUUUAUGUCAUCACAUGUGUGUGGGUAUGCAGUGGCCAGGCUGGAUCUCUCAUUUGGAACAAUCAUUCACUGCAACAAGUUUUCAAACCCCCAGAUUUUUGCAAGCAGUUGUUUAAUUAGUAAUUCUUUGUUAGUCUUCCCUGUGCUGCAGACUGCAAAGUAAGCACACAAACCAGCUGAGAGGGCAAAGGCUUUAUGAAGGAAGGACUGGAAUUUCAUGACUUUGCUUUCAAUCUUCCUACCUUUAUUUUUGGGUAGAUAAUUGUAGAUUUUAAAAGCAAGAGGAUAAUUAAUGUGGGGGUUGUUUGCUUCCUUUUAAGUCCUUUAGAGGCUAGUUAUAGACAUGAUUUUGAAAUAAAGGCAUCUCAGAACUUU